AUUUCUUGUUAUGGACUGGCUGACACCUCUUAAUUUCAAUCUUUGUUUAGCAGAUAACUCCUCUAUUUGCUAUCCUUUGUGGGAUUGCCAUAUUUAAGGUCACCAAAUAAGGUGCUAUCUGCUAAACAGCACCCUCAUUUGGUAUCUUUAAAUAUGGAAAUCUCACAUACGGGCACCAAUUCAGGGAAUGAUCUACUAAACAGCUAAAGGAUACAAAAAAGCCCUUUUCUUAUUUUCAGUUGUUUAGUAGAUAAAUCCCUUAUUUGUUAUCUUUAUGUGGGAUUGCAAUAUUUGAGGAUAGGAAAUAAGGGAGCUAUCUACUAAACACAUACGCAGAGAUACACACAAUCACACACAUAAUCACAGCUAUACACAAGCACAAUCACUGACCCACACACAAACAUUACAUACAUACACACAUUUAAUAAUUAAGAGGUCCACCCAGCCUCCCUACCUUGCUCUAGAAGGGCUGGAGUGGAUUCUCAGUCCCUGGUGGUCAGUGGUCGCUGCUGGGAUCUCUCGCACGCACGCCCUGUAAUGACGCGGAGGCCGCGAUGACAUCAUAUCCUGGCUGCAGGCUCACUGCAGGGCGAAGACCGUCAGACACAGUCAGAUGCACACAGUCCCACACAGUCACUCACACACAGUUACAGGCAGACAGUCAAAUACGCAGGCAAUCACACAGGCAGACAGUCACACACACAAUCACAGACAGUCACACAUACACACAACACAGUCACAGACAGUCACACACACAAUCACAGGCAGACAGUCACACACACCCACAAUCACAGGCAGACAGUCACACACAGUGACACACACACACACAGAGUAACACAGACAAUCACAGGCAGACAGUCACACACAGUGACACACACACACACAGACAGUCAUACAUACACAUAACACAAUCACAGACAGUCACACACACAAUCACAGGCAGUCACACACACACACCCACAAUCACAGGCAGACAGUCACACACAGUGACACACACACACACAGAGUAACACAGACAAUCACAGGCAGUCACACACACACACACACAGUCAUACAUACACAUAACACAAUCACAGACAGUCACACACACACACACACACACAGUCAGAGAGUCACACACACAGUCACAGACAGUCACAAUCACAGUUACACACAGCACACACUCUCUCCCUUACAGUAAGCUUGGGCUGGAGGAGGAGCGGAUUCAGUCCCUGCUGUGCUGUAGUUGGGGAAGCAGGGACUCCUUCCUGCUUCCCCUCUGUGUGCAGCAGUAGGAGGCUGCAUAUAGCUCCGCCCCCACGCCCGGAUUGGCUCCGCCCUCACGGCUGAUCGGGCCCCGCCCCCGAAUCUCCGUGCAGGUUUCCUGCUGUAUUCCCAGCCCCUGCGUGUGAGCUGUGUCGGCUGCCCGGCGCCCCUGCUGCUAUGGCAACCAGUGCAGCCACACAGCUCACUGACUCCCAAGCCUGGCCAGCCCUGGUGGCACCCCCCUGCCUGUUGGCACCCAGGGCGGACCGCCCCCCCCCGCCCCUCCCUUAGUAC